CCCGCCGCAAUCGCGCUACUCCUUCCGCCCAUCAUGACGAAAUAUAAAACAACAGGACAAGAGAGAAAUUACACGAUAUUAAUAAAGACAGAGAUAUAUAGAGAUUAGAAUAACUGCAUGACCCUCAGACACACACGAGGAAGGACCUCUGUGACGUCACAAGCGGUGACAGAUGAGCUGCCCGUCACAACCGCCUGAUCAAAAGUAAAGCAUUAUGAACUGAACCUGACUAAAUCACAGAUACCGUUACGCAACCAGGUGAACUGAGUCCAGUCCACCUGGUGUGUUUAUAUCGAGCAGAGAAAACACUACGAUACGUGAUGCAAUGAGUCAACAGAUGCGCCACAGCUGGAGUCUCACGUGACUCAUUGGCUGCACGGAUCCAAAGAUCCGCCUCCUGGCUGCCAUGGCAACUGCAGGAUGUUUGGCAGCGGGCCGCAGAGAGAUGCAAUGAAUGCGGCCUCCGAGAUCAGUCGGCCAAAACACGAAUGGAAAAAGAGAGUGUGUGUGCGCACGCACGAGAGAGAGAGCAGUAAAAAAGUGAGAGAGCCCAUGCGCUCUCAGUAGUUUGGCGUCCAUCCAGGGUAACCAUAAUGCAGAGAAAGAAAUGAGACUCUUGGCAGGACACCAGGUCUGAAAGAACAAAGAUGUGUGCGCUUCGAACGCGGGCGACUGGGGCCGCUUGGCAGCGUGAACGCUUUCCCAUCAACCUUUGCAUUGAAAGAACGCCACUCUAGUUUCCAGUCCUGCAAAGAGGAUUAUGGCGAGAGAGAGAGAGAGAGACAUAAAACCAAGUGGGAAAAAAACUUCAACUACAAGUCAUCCGAAACCCUUUCCCCAAUUGUACCUCAGUGCGUUGGCUGCACCUCAGAAAGCUUCUGUCCUUUUCGCUAGAGUUCAAAACUCUCGUGCAAAUCCUUUAUUAAUGAGUUUAACACAUUCGCUUUUACUUAAACAUCCAAACAUGCAGUCUGUGUCCUUUGCAUUGAUCUCGGCGUCGGCUGUCGAUGGUUAUAUAUCUUUUCUUCAAUGCAGUGUGUUUUUCUGCUGAUUACUAUGAGAGAAAUAUUUAUUUCUCUCCUGCCCUUCAGCUGGCUGCGCACACGGCUCUCCAUCAAAGUGACGCUGUGAUUUACAGCCUGCGCACUCAGCAGGGAUGCUGAAAUUUAGCGCAUGCUUUUCAAUCACAUUAAAUCAAAAGCUUUUCAGCCUGUAGUGCAUUGUGCAGGUAAAUAACACUCAGUGUGGCUCUAUGUUAUUUUACUGCCUCUGUAUGUUAACAUGAAUUGAGAAUGCAAGCAAAACACUGUAAACAGGAAGCGGUUAGUCAUACCGGCUAU